CCUACGGGGGGCUGCAGUGGGGAAUAUUGGACAAUGGGGGGAACCCGGAUCCAGCCAUGCCGCGUGUGUGAAGAAGGCCCUCGGGUUGUAAAGCACUUUCAGUGAGGAAGAACGCCUGGUGGUUAAUACCCAUCAGGAAAGACAUCACUCACAGAAGAAGCACCGGCUAACUCCGUGCCAGCAGCCGCGGUAAUACGGAGGGUGCGAGCGUUAAUCGGAAUUACUGGGCGUAAAGCGCGCGUAGGUGGCUUGAUAAGCCGGUUGUGAAAGCCCCGGGCUCAACCUGGGAACGGCAUCCGGAACUGUCAAGCUAGAGUGCAGGAGAGGAAGGUAGAAUUCCCGGUGUAGCGGUGAAAUGCGUAGAGAUCGGGAGGAAUACCAGUGGCGAAGGCGGCCUUCUGGACUGACACUGACACUGAGGUGCGAAAGCGUGGGUAGCAAACAGGAUUAGAUACCCCAGUAGUC
rnacentral:rRNA from 1 species